GCGGUGCAGUGCAGUGCAGUGCGGAAGAGGAGCUGCAGGGUGGAGCGAAGCGAGCAGCGCCGGGCGGGCAGAUCUAUCUUUAGAGGGAGUUCCCCGAAGUCUCCGGAGGGAACAUAGCUGCGGAUUUCAAA